UAUACCGUUGCGACACCACCAUCACUUUACUCCUCGCAGCUGACCGUCCGACCAUCUCUCUCAGCCUCAUCUCCCUCUUCCCCUUCCUGUUGCUCGAGUAUUUAUGUAAACAAAAGCACCGAAACGUUUCGUCGCUUCCCAUUUUUCUACCACUUGAGGCGGCAGUAAGAGGCGACGAAGGAGGAGGAGGAGUGAGGGAGGGAGCGAGAGAAUCUGAUCGUCCCUGCCAACUGACAACUGUCCUCCCUGCCUUCUCAAUUCGAUGCUUGAUGAGGCUCUCGGCCAAGAACCUCGUGUUCUUCUUCGCCGUGAUUUUCUCGAGGUUUCUCACCUCCGGCGUGCUGACGCCAUCGGUGCUUGAUUCACCGGUGGAGGGCGAACCAUGGCUGGCCGAUGCUGCAGCAGCCAUUUCUUGUUCUCCCUCCUCUUCUUAUCUGCAUCGGUUUUCUCUUUCAGCUGCGCCUGUUAUCCAGGUCUUUGAUGCAGAGAACAAGAGUGGACUCCGCUCGUUGUCCAAUGAUCUAGUACCCUUCCGGAAGACUCUAACAAGUCCUGGAAAGAGAUCGAUCUUGAGUUUGGAUGAAAAAUAAGUUCUUUGUUCAAAAAAUAGUAGGAGAUCAACUUUCAGUCACACAACAAAUGUGGGAUAGUGUCUGUGCUAAUGACAAGAAAACAGUCUAUCAACAUAUUGUGGCUUCAGAUGCAGAUGUGCAUGUUGUUUAUGGCCUGCCAUUAGCAAAUACAUCUUUAACACUCGCAAAAGCUAUGCUUCUGCAAGAUCAGACAACUGCCGUGGUAGAUCAUAGUUCUAGCUGCUUUGAUAUCACUCAUUUCCGAUUCUGACUUUUGUUUUUGCCAUAGAAAUGAUAGUCUUAAAGGUAUAUGAUUCUUGCAUAGCUGAUGUUGCUUGCAUAAUCUGUCUUGCUAGACUCUCUUUAUCUUGCAGGAUGGCUUUUUCUCGGACAUAGCUCGAACAAAAGGUGUAAACCACAUUGUUCUUCUAUCUCAUGUCCUCAAGUUUUUCAUCGAGCAAAUUCUCAUGUUUUAUCUCUCGUCAUGGUCUUCAAGCAUGAGUUUUGAUCAGAUUGUAGUUGGUGUAUUAUAACGGAAGUGGCGGAUUUCAAGCGAUUAUGAAUAGCAAAGCCAGAGAGCUGGCGGAUAGAGAUGAAAAGGCUGUGAUAACGACUGGUGUUCCAUACACAAUAAUAAGAACUGGCUUGCUACAGAGUGUUCCUAGUGGCAAUCAAAGCUUCAGGUUCAGCAAGCAAAGGGAAGUCUGAGUAAAGAGGAUGCAGCAGUUAUUUGAGUGGAGGCACUUGAGUCACCACCAGAGGAAGGCCUAAUAUUUGAAGGGAGCUGACCCAAACGUGACAGAUGAAGAUGGUAAAACUGCCUUUAGUUUGCACUUGAGGGUGGAAACAUUGAUGACGAUGAGAUAUUUGUUCUCUUGGAGGACCCUUACAGAUAACAAAGAUAGGUGCCCGAGCUAUUAGAAUCGCAAACUCAGAUCAUUCUUCGAUUGUUUCUGAUUAAAGGGAACAAGUAGUUGCAAUCUGCAAUGUAAGGUAUUUCUUUAAAUAUUAUAGCUAAAUCAUCCCUCAGGUGAAUGAA